GCUGCAGAAUGCUGAAAACCAAUUAUUUAGUUGGGCAGACGAAUCAUGCUAAACACUUCUGCGCUCCAGAAUUCUGAAACCAUGUGAACUUUUGCAAAUGCUCCUGAGAGAUGCCACAGGGAAGAUUUCCUUUUCAGAGAAACGAUCUGAGAGUGGAAAGCAUUUCACACAAGAGGAAGCAACAUAUGCCACUAUAACCAAGGAAUAAAUAGGAAAAAUAACAUGGGAAUAACAAGUUUUUCUUUUGCUGGCAAGACUGUUAUUGCCUGAACACAGGAAACACAAGCCAUGAGGCACAUCACCAAUAAACCUCUUGUGACAGAUUUUCUGACUGGAAAAAACACUUUCAUCAUAUCUACUUCCUGCAUGAGUUUACGUGAGGCCCCCACAAGCAUGUCCUUACAAGUGCAUGGAAAUAGAUGAUGAUAAAUAUCUCCACCAUCCAUCCUCUUUUGCUGGGAAAAAAGACAGAUAUUCUUGGUGGACUUUGUUUCAGACUAUCCAGAACCUGGUCCUGGGCACAUGGAGGGUUUCCCCACCAGGUGUGGAAUGUGUUCACUGCUCUGCUGGGAGGAGGCUGAGAGCUGCCUGUCAGGAGCACAUCAUAAUCAAGGAGUUUGGACAGGGCUCCAAGACUGGUGUGCUUUUAACCCAGCUGAGAGGAAAACGCAAUCCAUGUCUGAGCCAGGUUCCUGCACUACGUUCAGUGCCCAUUGAUCUCUGAACAUCAAACAAGAAAGUGAAAAGCAGAAAGUGAAGAACAGGAAGUGUCCACAAGAGCUGGGGCAAGACCAGGGUUAAAGGUCUGGAUGUCUGGAUGCCUUCCCAACCUCUGCAAGCACAUCCAGUGUUGGAUGCAGCCUCCUUCCACAAUCCCUGUGGAAGCCCAGGACUGGAACAGCAUGUUCACAUUUGCAGGGUCAUUCCAGUAGCCAGUGUUUGGCUAUUCUUAUGCAAUGAAAAGACUCUUGUUAAUUACUGUGACUUCUUUACAAUCAGAAGAUGUACACAUUUGAACCGCAAAGGAUCCUCUCUGGAGAACAACCUUUAUUUGCUUGAUUGCUUCUGUUCAGUUAAUUCUGCCUAAUUACUAUUUUCUUCCUAUUAGAUACUAAUUGUAUACAGUAUUUUCAUUAUAAAGUGUAAUUUUUCCCAGAGAACUAUGUCAAUUACACAGACAAUACUACCCGAGGUCUCAUUUACUUCAUUAAACCAGAGAACAGCCUCUCUUCUGAUUAAAACUGCAGUUGGAGGUAUGGAUGUGGUGAUGUCCUACUCCUAUAGUGUAGCUAUGAGAACGUAUCACGGAGUCCCGCAGUGGUAGGGAGGAGAAGAGAGAUCCAACAGGCAG